rnacentral:rRNA from 1 species
UGGGGAAUUUUGGACAAUUGGGCGAAAGCCUGAUCCAGCAAUGCCGCGUGUGUGAAGAAGGCCUUCGGGUUGUAAAGCACUUUUGUCCGGAAAGAAAUCCUUGGCUCUAAUACAGUCGGGGGAUGACGGUACCGGAAGAAUAAGCACCGGCUAACUACGUGCCAGCAGCCGCGGUAAUACGUAGGGUGCAAGCGUUAAUCGGAAUUACUGGGCGUAAAGCGUGCGCAGGCGGUUUGCUAAGACCGAUGUGAAAUCCCCGGGCUCAACCUGGGAACUGCAUUGGUGACUGGCAGGCUAGAGUAUGGCAGAGGGGGGUUAGAAUUCCACGUGUAGCAGUGAAAUGCGUAGAGAUGUGGAGGAAUACCGAUGGCGAAGGCAGCCCCCUGGGCCAAUACUGACGCUCAUGCACGAAAGCGUGGGGAGCAAACAGGAUUAGAUACCCUGGUAGUCCACGCCCUAAACGAUGUCAACUAGUUGUUGGGGAUUCAUUUCCUUAGUAACGUAGCUAACGCGUGAAGUUGACCGCCUGGGGAGUACGGUCGCAAGAUUAAAACUCAAAGGAAUUGACGGGGUCAUAGCUGUUUCCU